rnacentral:sRNA from 1 species
UUUUUUUUGCAAAUUGAAUCUAUAUAUAAUAUAUUUUUAUUUUAUAGUUUACAAUUGUUAUUAAGUAACGUCCUGCCAAACCCGUCCCGCCAAACCCGUCCCGUAAAAAAACUAUUUAUUUAUAUUAAUGUUGAUCUUAUUUAUGAUAUGUUUAUAAAUCAUUGUCUAAAUAUUUUUGUCGAUGCGGGACGUUGAACCCACACAUUUUUUGCUAAUUUGUUAAUAUAUGUUUAUUUUUAAAA